GGCUCGAUGGUCUACGGGUAUGAUUCUCGCUUCGGGUGCGAGAGGUCCCGAGUUCAAAUCCCGGCCGAGCCC
rnacentral:tRNA from 1 species